rnacentral:rRNA from 1 species
AGAGCGAACGCUGGCGGCAGGCCUAACACAUGCAAGUCGAACGAACUCUUCGGAGUUAGUGGCGGACGGGUGAGUAACACGUGGGAACGUGCCUUUUGGUCGGAAUAACUCAGGGAAACUUGUGCUAAUACCGAAUGUG